UCCCUGAGGGCUCAGAUGGUAAAGCAUCUGCCUGCAAUGUGGGAGACCCGGGUUCGAUUCCUGGCUUGGGAA
rnacentral:tRNA from 1 species